rnacentral:rRNA from 1 species
UCCGGUUGAUCCUGCCAGAGGCCGCUGCUAUCCGGCUGGGACUAAGCCAUGCUAGUCUAGGGGCUUGUACUCCUUCGGGGGUGCAAGCACCGGCGGACGGCUCAGUAACACGUGGACAACCUGCCCUCGGGUGGGGGAUAACCCCGGGAAACUGGGGCUAAUCCCCCAUAGGUGAUGGGUGCUGGAAUGCCCCAUCUCCGAAAGCGCUUAGCGCCCGAGGAUGGGUCUGCGGCGGAUUAGGUAGUUGGUGGGGUAACGGCCCACCAAGCCUAAGAUCCGUACGGGCUGUGGGAGCAGGAGCCCGGAGAUGGACCCUGAGACAAGGGUCCAGGCCCUACGGGGCGCAGCAGGCGCGAAACCUCCGCAAUGCGGGAAACCGCGACGGGGUUAGCCGGAGUGCCCGUGCAUUGCACGGGCUGUCGGGGUGCCUAAACAGCACCCCAUAGCAAGGGCCGGGCAAGGCCGGUGGCAGCCGCCGCGGUAAGACCGGCGGCCCGAGUGGCGGCCACUCUUAUUGGGCCUAAAGCGUCCGUAGCCGGCCCAGUAAGUCCCCCGGGAAAUCUGGUCGCUUAACGAUCAGACUUCCGGGGGAUACUGCUGGGCUAGGGA